rnacentral:rRNA from 1 species
GACGAACGCUGGCGGCGUGCUUAACACAUGCAAGUCGAACGGAAAGGCCCUGCUUUUGUGGGGUGCUCGAGUGGCGAACGGGUGAGUAACACGUGAGUAACCUGCCCUUGACUUUGGGAUAACUUCAGGAAACUGGGGCUAAUACCGGAUAGGAGCUCCUGCUGCAUGGUGGGGGUUGGAAAGUUUCGGCGGUUGGGGCUGGACUCGCGGCUUAUCAGCUUGUUGGUGGGGUAGUGGCUUACCAAGGCUUUGACGGGUAGCCGGCCUGAGAGGGUGACCGGCCACCUUGGGCCUGCGGUACGGCGCAGAAUCCUACGGGAGGCAGCAGUGGGGAAUAUUGCACAAUGGGCGGAAGCCUGAUGCAGCAACGCCGCGUGCGGAAUGACGGCCUUCGGGUUGUAAACCGAUUUCGCCUGUGACGAAGCGUGAGUGACGGUAAUGGGUAAAGAAGCACCGGCUAACUACGUG